UACGAAGGGGGCUAGCGUUGUUCGGAAUUACUGGGCGUAAAGCGCGCGCAGGUGGUCUUUCAAGUCAGUGGUGAAAGCCCGGAGCUCAACUCCGGAAAUGCCAUUGAAACUGUAAGACUUGAGGAUGAGAGAGGUGAGUGGAAUUCCCAGUGUAGAGGUGAAAUUCGUAGAUAUUGGGAAGAACACCGGUGGCGAAGGCGGCUCACUGG
rnacentral:rRNA from 1 species